rnacentral:rRNA from 1 species
CUAUCGCAAAACACAUGAUAGGUAAUUCCUGCCCAGUGACUCAACAAGUUCAACGGCCGCGGUAUCCUAACCGUGCAAAGGUAGCAUAAUCACUUGCCCAUUAAUUGUGGGCUAGAAUGAAAGGACUAACGAAAUAGAUACUGUCUCUAUAAGCCCAAUAAAAAUUAAUCUCUAACUGAAGACUGUUAGAUUCCGUCGAAGGACAAGAAGACCCUAUAGAGCUUUAUUUAACAAAAGAUAAGUCACUUUUUUAUAAUUCGGUUGGGGCGACCGGGGAAGUAAUAAAUCAUCCCUUACUAUCAGAUAACUAAAUCUCCUUUAUGACCCUUGAAAAUGAUCACAAGACCAAGAGUACGAAAGGACCUAAAUAUGAAUAAUAAUUAUAACUUAAGAAUUAAUAUAAUAUCAAAUUAAAUAAAUAAAAUACAUAAACUAUG